GAAAGGGUUCCAAAAGGGUUCUUAGGCUGUAACCAUUGGAGAACCCGUUUUGGUUCGAGGUAGAACCUUUUGGGUUCCAGGUAGAACCCCUUGGGUUCCAUGUAGGACUCUCUGUGGAAAGGGUUCUACAUGGAAUCCAAAAGGAUUCUACCUGGAACCAAAAAGGAUUCUUCAAUGGGUUCUGCUAUGGGGACAGUCAAAUGACCCUUUUAGAUUCUAGAUUGCACCUUUUUUUCUAAGACUGUAGUGGUGGUGGUAACUAAUAAUAAUUCAAUUACCCUCAUUAGUGAACGUUCUAGAACAAGUGGAUUCCAACCCACAUAAUACACACAUGUCACUUUUACUCUUCACCCAAACACGGCAAACUUUGACCUCUAAGCCUCUCUGACCAUUGACCCUUCUCUGCCAUGAAACCUGUCUUGAAUUCCACUGAGGGGUUGACUAAGCCUGUAUCCUCCCCUUAGAAGGUAGAGUACCACAGACCUACACUCAGGUCUGUAGCACUGGCUGUCUGAUGGGUGUCUGAUUAAUGUUGGUGAAUCUGCAGCCACCCCUAUAUUCCUCCCCCAGCCCUCAUCCUACACCACCAUACUUCAAGAGGAUAUGUUUACAAACAGUGGGGUAGAGAUACACCAUGUUUAAAAGCAGGUGCCUGGUUAUCUCUGCCUUCAUAUAGCUUCAAAGAGACCCAAAAGGGGCUCAGAGGUGGGACUGUGCCUUAGAUGGUUGGACACAUCACGGGCCUUGGUAUUGCCAAUAAGGAGGAGGGUGCAUAGCACAGUACACCAUACGCAGCUGUAUUAUCUGAGGUGCAUAUUCUGAAAACAAAUUCAAACGUAAAACUGUUAAACACAGAAUACCAGUGGGAAGGAAUUAUACCUUCAUGGUUAAAUUAGCCAUUUCAAAAGCACUAAUGUAAGCUUCCUGCACUGUCAUGUCCCUUUUUUUAUUUUAUGUUUUACCAUUGCACACUUCUUUCCAAUCUCCCCCCCAAAAAGAAUGGGGCUUUGAGUAUUUUUUUCUCCAAAAAAAAGCAUUCCUGUGAAGAUUAAAAUGGAAGGUCCCAGGUGGCGGGUCCCCUGAACCAGCCCUCUAACAGCCUGAGUGACUCCUCAACAGACCCUCUACUACUUUGGCAUCAGCUGCUGAGCGGCAGUAGUAGUGGUAGUGGUAGUGGUAGUGGUAGAGGUAGUGGUAGUGGUAGUGGUAGUGGUAGAGGUAGUGGUAGUGGUAGAGGUAGUGGUAGUGGUAGAGGUAGUGGUAGUGGUAGAGGUAGUGGUAGUGGCAGUGGUAGUGGUAGUGGUAGUGAUUGUGGUAGUGGUAGUGGUAGUAGUGAUAGUGGUAGUGGUAGUGGUAGUGGUAGUAGCUGUACACAUAGCAGGCAGGCUAGGUGCUCUCUGGCUCUGUAGGCUUCGAUCUCUCUACAGGUUACUCAGACUGAUAAUGCAGAGCCUCAGCUGCUCCUGGCCAGAAAGAGAUGCCAUUUACACAGCCAUUUUCUCUGUCUCAGUGUACACACACACAGUGUACACACACACACACACACACACACACACACACACACACACACACACACACACACACACACACACACACACACACACACACACACACCGAGGUGUCAUGCCCAUAGGGGGUAUCAUGCCCGCUCAGAUGUAUCCUGUUUAAAAUAUAUUUAUUAAAAAUAUAUAUACAGUACCAGUCAAUAGUUUGGACACACCUACUCAUUCAAGGGUUUUUCUUUAUUUAAAAAAAACUGUUUAAUAAUAGAAAACAUCAUAACUAUGAAAUAAUACAUAUGGAAUCAUGUGGUAACCAAAAAAAGUGUUAAACAAAUCAAAAUAUAUUUUAUAUUUUAUAUUCUUCAAUGUAGCCACCCUUUGCCUUGAUGACAGCUUUGCACACUCUUGGCAUUCUCUCAACCACCUUCACCAGGAAUGCGUUUACUUUUCCUUCACUCUGUGGUCCAACUCAUCCCAAACCAUGUCAAUUGGGUUGAGGUCAGGUGAUUGUGGAGGCCAGGUCAUCUGCAACACGCCAUCCCUCUCCUUCUUGGUCAAAUAACCCUUACACAGCCUAGAGGUGUGUUGGAUCAUUGUCCUGUUGAAAAACAAAUGAUAGUCCCACUAAGAGCAAAACAGAUGGGAUGGCGUAUCGCUGCAGAAUGCUGGGUAGCAAUGCUGGUUAAGUGUGCCUUGAAUUCUAAAUAAAUCACAGACAGUGUCACCAGCAAACCACCCACAUGCCAUCACACCUCCUCCUCCAUGCUUCACGGUGGGAACCACACAUGCAGAGAUAAUCCGUUCACCUACUCUGCGUCUCAGAAAGACACGCAGUUGGAACCAAAAUUCUCCAAUUUGUACUCAACAGACCAAAUGACAGAUUUCCAUUGCUCAUGUUUCUUGGCCCAGCAAGUCUCUUCUUCUUAUUGGUGUCCUUUAGUAGUGUUUUCUUUGCAGCAAUUCAACCAUUAAGGCCUGAUUCACUCAGUCUCCUCUGAACAGUUGAUGUUGAUGUCUGUUACUUGAACUCUGUCAAGCAUUUAUUUGGGCUGCAAUUUCUGAGUCUGGUAACUCUAAUGAACUUACCUUCUGCAGCAGAGGUAACUCUGGGUCUUCCUUUUCUGUGGCGGUCCUCAUGAGAGCCAGUUCCAUAAUAGCGCUGGAUGGUUUUUGCGACUGCAUUUGAAGAAACUCUUAAUUAAAGCUCUUGAAACUUUUGACUGGUACUGUGUAUAUAUUUUUUGUUAUUGUUGUUUCUCUGCAAUACUACUAGCCACCUAGACAUUUUAUGAAGAUGGCUUUAACUAGCCCAGAUAGUUAUGAGG
ensembl:lncRNA